rnacentral:rRNA from 1 species
UACGUAGGGGGCAAGCGUUAUCCGGAUUUACUGGGUGUAAAGGGAGCGUAGACGGCAUGGCAAGCCAGAUGUGAAAGCCCAGGGCUCAACCCCGGGACUGCAUUUGGAACUGUCAGGCUAGAGUGUCGGAGAGGAAAGCGGAAUUCCUAGUGUAGCGGUGAAAUGCGUAGAUAUUAGGAGGAACACCAGUGGCGAAGGCGGCUUUCUGGACGAUGACUGACGUUGAGGCUCGAAAGCGUGGGGAGCAAACAGG